rnacentral:lncRNA from 1 species
CCGGUGAGCGGUGAGAAGGGAGAGCCGCCGGAGCCUCCGUGAGCCGGGGGGAGACUCAGCACCUGGGCGCUGAACAGCUCCACGGAGCGCCACAGGCGGGGCCGGCGCCGCGCUCCCCGCCCCUGGGCGCGGGAGGGCCGCGCCGCCCUCCCCCCCCCUCGCCUGGCUACGCGCCUCUGCGGCCGCCCCGCCCCGCGCCCGCCUCAGGCGGGGACCCGGCCCGCGGGCGGUGGCCGAGCAGAAGGGCGGGAGUGACCACGCUUCCCAGGCGGCCUCGCGGUGCGAGAGGCGGCCCCGCUCCCGAGGGCUGCGGGGAGAUGUAGUCCUGGCGCGUGCGGAGCGCGGAGGGGCUCGGCUGGGUGGCGCCGCGCCGGGAGGGGGCGCUUUGAGAUUUAGUCUUUGCUUCUUAAUCUGGUCAGAGGCGGAGUACAAAUGAAUGCAGUUCACCAAAGAAACAAUCAAUACUGAAAGUAUUCACCGAGUUAGCACUUCUGGUAAGUUAUUUAGUCUUUCACUUUGUCAAUGUAUCUUUGGGCAAAACUAAGCUCUAACAGGAAAUGUGCUCCCAACAGCUUCUUGUAACAUGCUAAGCAAUUGAUGAACAUACAAGAUAUUUCUUCUAAAAUAUCUAUUAAAAGUGUAUGUUCAUAUAUUGUAUAUGUUUUUAUAUAUAGGUAUUAUAUGCAACUAUUUAUGACUAGAGAAAACUAGAAUUUGGGUGCAACUCCUUGGAUGUGAAGCAGAGGCAGCAAACAGUUUCUCUGAGUUACCAAAGUACAGUAAUCAUUCAGAAUUGCAAGGAAGAGGUAGAUUGUCUGUGGAGUGCUGGGACCGUGGCUCUGUAAGGAAGGAGGCUGGAGUGGGACAAUAUAUAUCUAAAAAGGCAGCAGUGAGUAUGAGGAAGUAGAAGGAGGUCCAUAUGGGAAAAACAGUCCAUCAAACAUGCCUGUGCUAAGUGAAAUCUUACAUGCUUGGUUGUUUUAUUUCUUUCCAAGUAUAUCAGAUCAUCUGAUUGGAUAACAAUCAGAUAAAAAAAGUCUUCUUUUA